GAAACAAGGCUGUGUCCUCGCUCCGGUACUAUUCAACCUAUACUUCACCCAAGUAUUAUGCAUGCUGUGAUGGAUCUAGACCUGGGCUUCUACAUCAAAUACCGACUGGAUGGCUCACUAUUCGACCUUUGCCGCCUGACUGCAAAAACAAAGACAACAGAGAGACUCAUCCUGGAAGCUCUCUUUGCAGAUGACUGUGCUCUCAUGGCCCGCCAAGAAAAUCAUCUCCAAACCAUUGUGGACAGGUUCUCCACCGCAACAAAACUGUUUGGCCUGACUAUCAGCCUCAGCAAAACAGAGGUGCUGUUCCAACCUGCACCAGGGAGGCCAACGAACCAGCCGUGCAUUACAAUCGACAGCACGCAGCUUUCUAACGUCAACACUUUCAAGUACCUGGGCAGCCCCAUCGCCAACGACGGGUCCCUAGACCACGAGAUCAAUGCCAGGAUCCAAAAGGCCAGCCAGGCACUCGGGCGGCUGCGCUGCAAAGUCCUCCAACACAGCGGUGUAAGCACUGCGACAAAGCUCAAAGUGUACAACGCAGUGGUCCUCAGCUCGCUCCUGUACGGCUGUGAGACAUGGACACUGUACCGGAAGCACAUGAAACAGCUGGAGCAAUUCCACCAACGCUCCCUCCAGUCAAUCAUGAGGAUCCGAUGGCAGGACCGAAUCACCAAUCAGGAAGUCCUCGACAGAGCCAACUCCACCAGCAUCGAAGUCCUGGUCCUCCAAACCCAGCUACGAUGGUCUGGACACGUCAUCCGCAUGGACCCACAGCGAAUACCAAGACAGGUAUUCUACGGUGAACUGUCAGCUGGACUCAGGAAACAAGGCCGACCAAAGAAAAGAUUCAAGGAUCAGCUAAAGUCCAACUUGAAGUGGGCUGGCAUGACACCAAAGCAACUAGAACUCGCUGCCUCUGACAGAAGCAGCUGGCGAACCCACAUUAACCGUGCCACCACCACCUUUGAAGAUGAGCGACGUCGACGUCUUGCCGCUGUGCGUGAACGCCGACACCAGGCCACAACCACACCUCCUGUAACAACUGGCGUCCCAGGCCCCAUGUGCCACAAACUGUGCGCCUCAGCCUUUGGACUCCAAAGCCACAUGAGGGUACAUCAAUAGAUGAUAAUGCACAAAGACAACAGUCAUUCUCGGUCACCGAGAGACUACCACUAUGCUAUGUCCAAUGUAUUAAAAUACCAUUCAAGUAGUUAAGAAGAAUUAGGUAUCUUUAACCAUCCCCUAUGAAAGGUGGAUAAAAAUUAAAGCUAAGUAUCUGCUUGACAGUAAGAUGUAUGUGCCCCUACAUUUGUAUCCCAAUCUGUGAAAUGAAUAAAAUAAUGGUUGUUAAGGCUAAUUAUAGCAGAUGUUUUACCAAAUCUUACAGGCUUUAUUUUAAUGAAA
ensembl:lncRNA